GGUUUGUGGCUCAGUGGUAGAGCGCUUGCCUAGCAUGUGGGAGGCACUGGGUUCCAUUUCCAGCACCA
rnacentral:tRNA from 1 species